GAGCUGAAAACCAGUGGGUGCAAUUCUGAAAAACCAGCAUGAGGUCUGUGCACUGUCCCACAGCAGAGCAGGUCCCCAGGAACCCCAGCAUUUGAGAGGCACCAACCAUCCUUGUGAAAAGGAAAUCCAAAGACCUUACAGAGCACAGUUAUUACAAGGAAACCAUAUUGCUUUAAACACUGAGAGAGCUUCCGUCCUCUCCCUGCUCACGAGGUCUUUCCAGGUGUAGAGUUUUACAGUAUUGCGAUAAUACAACGCAGGCGAGUGUUAAAAAGCACACCGAGUUCUCAAGAAAGAUCUCUGCAGCAGCCAAAUGCAUCACCACUGUCGUGCUUCUUCAGCACAAAGAGGCUCAGCGUUGGAAUGCCUUUGCAAAGCCAAGACAAACCACUUUCCAUUGCGUUUUGAAACCUGCCAGGGAUCUCAAAGCCUCGGGAAGGUGAGAGCCAUUCCCAACCUCGCAGCAGCACCGCAACCACCGGACAUCAGAACUGAAAGGUGGUGAAAAUGAAGAGAAAAACAGCUGGACCAAAACAUGAUGAAAUGAUCGAGGAAGCCACUGUGGCAACUGGAAUCCCACCAGUUUAAGAUGUGUCCAUCUGUCACGUCUUUCUGUAUAUCAGCUGACAUUACAGAGGGAAGGAUGGAAUCACAUAUUGCAAUUUACACACAAUGGUGAGAUCCUUGCAGAUUGUCUGCGCUCAGCUGGAAAAGGCCCCAAUCCACCCCUCUCACUCUGCAUCAGCCUCGGUGGCCUUUAUCAGCCCUGCUUUGUAUUUCUGAUGCCAUCUGGAGAUGCCAUUAGGACAACUCAAGUCAGUCAGCAUUUCAUUUAUGGGAAUCAACCCAGCAGGAAAGGACAUUGGUGCAAUCCUGUCAUUUUCUGAAGGUUCCAGGGAUGUUUUAACCUGAUCCAGAAGAUUUUCAUCUGUGGCCCAGCCAUGAGGUAACAUAUUGUGAUUCCAACAGCAAAACUGCACAAGAGAUAUACCAGAAAUUCUGAGCUAACAACUCAGUGCUCCUGGGCUCAGUGGAUCUCUCCCAAGCCUGUUUCUUACAGCUGAAACCUUCCAACAAUCUUGGAGACGUUACGCUGAGUGAGACACGUGUUCAAGCCAGAAGAUGUGCACAUAAAUGCCAUGAAUGAGUUCCUCAAAAAGUAUGAAGUCCAAAUCUCACCAAGAGAUUCAACAGGACACCUCUUUGAGUAGCCAGAUGUACAAACUGGUGUCGAUGGAACCUGGGGAGUGGCAUUAUGUCAGCUCCCACAUCCCUCCUGCUUGCCAGAGAUGGAGCACAUCCAGAAUGAAGAGGGAUGGUUCUCUCCACAACAGUGUAAACAAAGAGGAAAGUCAGAGGGGACAGGAAAUGAGGAAUUUUUUCAAGGCCACUUCUUUUAAAGCCUUUUUCACCCUCCUGACUUGGACACGUUUCCCAAUAAGGAAAAAAAAAACUCCUUGAGGCCAAACUAGCUCUAAGCUUAUCUCCAGCUCUCACUAGAACUGCCCUUUCACUAAUGCAGCUCAGAAGGUCAAAGUUUCUUCCGUAAAGCAAGGUGAGUGCAUUGGAUGUGUUCAAGGCCACAGGAGCAAGGUGUGUGAGGCGGGCAAUGGCACAGCAGAGAUAGCAGUGAGGUGUUCGGGCACUUCUCCAAGGACCUGGGGAGAGCUCUGGCUUUCCCCCUUCAUUCAAAGCUCCCUCAUUUCUUACCCUCCUUUUUGCAAUUGCAAACAAAAGGUUAAGGAGCCUGUGAGGGCAGUGCUGCUGUGAUUUACCUAUCCUUAAAGAAACACAACUGGAUCAACCAAUUCCCUUUGCACAAGGUAAAAGACACGAUACCAGUCUGGA